ensembl:lincRNA
CUGUCAUCCUCUCCCCUUUUUCCUCUCAUCUCAAGUCCCCCCAGGUUCAUCUAUGAUCUGGGCAUGUCUCAGAAGCUGACCCCGUGAUAGCUCCAUCUGUCUGAGUGCAAGCUAGGUGGAGGUGUCAGUUCUCAGUUAAAAUGGGUCAAGAGACCACCAGGCAGUGCCCCACACACUCCUCUCUGCCCCAGACUGUGAGAAUAGCUCUGUACCCUUUAAUGGAGCAAUUGGGCUGAAAUCAACUUUUUAUCUCAGACCACUUCUAGUUCUAUCCAUUUUCUCUAAAGGUUUUAACUUCUUUGAGACAAGAAGCAGAAGGGAUUAAACACACAGCAGGGAAAUGAUGGGAAAUGUCAUAAAAUGGUGGGGAGCUGGAAGGGAGGGAGAGAGCAAUCAGGACAGAGUGAAAAGGGAUGGAACCUUGAGGUGGUGAGUUUUUAGGCAUCCCUGAGUCUCCUAGCAACAGGUAUCCCAUAGCAACCAGCCAGCUCAGCUGCAAGGUGACUGGUUGGAAGAGCCCAUAGGACCCGCCUUGUGCCCACCAUCAAUGGGCCUCACGUGCAGUCCUGGGGUCCUCAGCCCACUGCCCUACCUGCCCUCAGAGUCCUGGAGAGCACAGUCUUAUGAACUCAUCCAUUCUGACAGGUUUCCUAUCUCCAUGGGCAAUAAUGGUGGUACCUGGUUCCACACCAGGUUCAGUCACUGCUUGGAGGAAACAGUUGCUUCCAGGCAGCUGGAGGGACUCUAAGAGGAGAAAUUCAUCACUAAUCACACUCCAAAGGACUUUUAUCCUGGAUCAUCAAGGAGUCUCCUUGUGAAGCAGAGAAGAUAAGAAAUAGACACCUUUGGGGGGGGGUGCCAAAUUUAUUCAUAAAGCAUUUUUACUGCUUCAUCCUUUUCCACCAAAAUUCUUUUAUCUAUGUGAUUACAAGAAACUCAUCCACCAUAAUCAAAAAUUAUGCCAUGCAAGGGCCCCUGAGAGGACCAGAAACAAGAGGACCAUUUUCAAGAUGUACAUGAAGUCUUGAAAAUUGCAAAAACAAUUGUAUUUUCCUAUAAAGUGUACCUCCAAAUAUGAAAAAUACUCCAGGCCACUAUUUUGUUUACCACCUCACUAGUACAAGGACCCCCAGUUGUCCUUCUUCCUCUUGCUUCUGCUUUUUUUCUCAUUAAUAAUCUAGCAUAAAAUAUAACAAUUGGUUUUAUAAACUUGUUCUCCUACUAUCAUCCAAGUAGUUGAUUUCCUUUGAUAAUUAAAAAAAGAAGUAAUUAUAGAUUUAUAUAGUUUUGUCAGUCAUGCCACUUACACAGAAAGUCAUGUGACUGUCACAAUCUUUGAAAUAUGUAAGAAAAUCAAGAGAAUAAAUUCAAGAUAUAAUUUUGCAAAUCAUAUUUAAUUCCCAGCUAAAAAGCUGCAUCUAUCAUGUUGUUGUUUAGUCACUCAGUUUUGUCCAACUCUUUUGCGACCCCGUGGACUAUAGCCCACCAGGCUCCUCUGUCUAUUGGAUUUCUUAGGCAAGAAUCCUGGAGUGGGCUGCCAUUUCCUCCUCCACGGGAUCUUCCUGACCUAAGGAUUGAACCCCUAUCUCCUGCACUGGCAGGCAGAUUCUUUACAGUCUGAGCCACCAGAGAAGCCCUGUAUCAAUUAUAUCUUACAUUAUAUCAUGUAAAAUACAUAGAUAAGGGGUCAUCCUUCUAUUUAUAUUUCCACACUGUACAUUGACUAUAAUGUAUAUUUUAUUACCUAGUUAGGUAUAGAUUAUGAUAUAAGUAACCUCAGAACUUCUGAUGAAGCAAUUGUCUAAAACACAUUAAUAACUUUAAUAAAGAUUUAUGAAAAGAGGAGAGAAAAUAAUUCUGUAAAAAGGUUUAAAUGACUCUUAUAAAUCUUUUAUAACAUACUUGGUUGUGUUUCUCUAAAGGCUCUCUUCUUUCCUGGUUGCUAUAUUUAGACGGAAUAGCGAUAGGACACUCUUCUGUGAGAAUGUCCUAUUUCAAAAAUAAAAUUGCGAGAGUGAGAUUGGUUCUUUAAGCCUUCUGAAGGUUUCUGCCUGGAGGUGUAAGAACACAAAGGAAGUUCUCUCUUGAUGAGCUUGCGUUGCGUGGAAAAUUACCUUAUUUUAAGAAAAAAAUAUCAGUGGUUUUCUUAUAACCUAAAGAUAGAAAAUGUUAAUGCAAUGUUUCUAUUUAGACUUUAAAUCUUUCUUAAUUUUUCCAUAAAAUUGUUCUCCAUUGACUGCUUAUACAAAGUUUAAGUACUCCAGUAAAUAUUUCC